rnacentral:rRNA from 1 species
UACAGAGGUCUCAAGCGUUGUUCGGAUUCAUUGGGCGUAAAGGGUGCGUAGGUGGCGGGGUAAGUCGGGUGUGAAAUCCUGAGGCUUAACCUCGGAACUGCAUUCGAUACUGCGGUGCUUUGAGGACUGGAGAGGAGACUGGAAUUCAUGGUGUAGCAGUGAAAUGCGUAGAGAUCAUGAGGAAGACCAGUGGCGAAGGCGGGUCUCUGGACAGUUCCUGACACUGAGGCACGAAGGCCAGGGGAGCAAACGGG